rnacentral:tRNA from 1 species
AAGGGUAUAGCUCAAGUGGCAGAGUGCAUACUUAGCAUGCAUGAGGUCCUGGGUUCAAUCUCCAGUACCUCCU